rnacentral:rRNA from 1 species
CCUACGGGUGGCUGCAGUGGGGAAUAUUGCACAAUGGGCGAAACCCUGAUGCAGCGACGCCGCGUGAGUGAAGAAGUAUCUAGGUAUGUAAAGCUCUUUCAGCAGGGGAGAAAAUGACGGUACCUGAUUAAGAUGCCCCGGCUAACUACGUGCCAGCAGCCGCGGUUAUACGUAGGGGGCAAGCGUUAUCCGGAUUUACUGGGUGUAAAGGGGGCUUAGACGGCAGCACAAGUCUGGAGUGAAAUGCCGGGGCUUAACCCUGGAACUGCUUUGGAAACUGUGCAGCUAGAGUGGAGGAGAGGUAAGUGGAAUUCCGGGUGUAGCGGUGAAAUGCGUAGAUAUUACGAGGAACACCAGUGGCGAAGGCGGCUUACUGGACUGCAACUGACGUUGAGGCUCGAAAGCGUGGGGAUCAAACAGGAUUAGAUACCCUAGUAGUC